GGUCACCAAGGGGAACACAGCCUGUCGCGUGACUGUCGCUGCAUGUCUGUGGUCGUUUGCUCGGUACUGACUUUGUAUAUUGCAAGGGUAGCAAACUCCAUCCCCAUUUGGUCACUUGCCUUCAGCACUAACCGCGCGUUAUAACUUUAUAUCCUGAACGUAUCCCGAGCAUUAACACCACUCGAUAUUUCAAAGUUAGACCGCCUAACAUCCAUGGCAUUCAGAGAUGCCAUAUUGAAUUUGGAGGGUGUAUGCCAACAGCUGCACGUUUGCGCAGAUCAAUCACGAAUUAUUUUGUCAAAAUGUGAGAUUAAACUAUGAGACAUUUGGGAUGUUAUUGAGCCACAAUUUCCUCCUGGACCAUCUUUGGCAUAUUGCACACCGCAGGCUUGAUUAUCUAUGCAACCGAUGAUCCACAUUUCGCUAUUGCAGUUAUAUAUUACCAAUCAUGAAUCAAUAUCAGCGACUUUGACUGGACACAAAUACUGUUGUGCUCUUGAAGCGGAUCAAUUCAACACAAACAAAUAUAUACACAACAGAUAUAAAGCAACAAAACGCAAAAAGACGCCCCAAAAUCCAGAGGAAUCCGCACAAAUGCAUCCCUGGCUAUGGGUUUCAUGUCUUUUGGCAACAGCAAGUGCAAAAUGUCUCCACAAGUGGAGCGUGGGUUAUGCAAGAUGCAACACUGCAAGUGUUCCGCGUGAAGUGCAGCCGGAGACAUUAAGCCACAAGAAAUCGAGCACCUGUCGCUGCGACAGCACGCUAGCCGAGACGUGCUGCAACAGUUCAGUAGCGUACGCAGCGUGCAGCGAGGAGCGAGUCUUCGGCACCUCGCUGCCGUCCGCGGCGGCUGAGCUUCACUGCCGCUGCUGCC